rnacentral:rRNA from 1 species
AACGAACGCUGGCGGCGUGCUUAACACAUGCAAGUCGAGCGAUGAAGCACCUUCGGGUGUGAAUUAGCGGCGAACGGGUGAGGAACACAUGAAGAAUCUGCCUUCAACUCUGGGAUAACUCCGGGAAACCGGGGCUAAUACCGGAUAUGAGCCUUGAUCGCAUGAUCGGGGAUGGAAAGUUUUUCGGUUGAAGAUGACUUCGCGGCCUAUCAGCUUGUUGGUGAGGUAAUGGCUCACCAAUGCGACGACGGGUAGCCGGCCUGGGAGGGCGAACGGCCACACUGGGAAUGAGACACGGCCCAGACUCCUACGGGGGGCAGCAGUGGGGAAUAUUGGGCAAUGGAGGAAACUCUGACCCAGCGACGCCGCGUGAGGGAUGAAGGCCUUCGGGUUGUAAACCUCUUUCAGUAGGGAAGAAGCGAAAGUGACGGUACCUACAGAAGAAGCACCGGCUAACUAUGUGCCAGCAGCCGCCGUAA